rnacentral:rRNA from 1 species
GAUGAACGCUAGCUACAGGCUUAACACAUGCAAGUCGAGGGGAAACGAUAGAGAAAGCUUGCUUUUUCUAGGCGUCGACCGGCGCACGGGUGAGUAACGCGUAUCCAACCUGCCCAUCACUUGGGGAUAACCUUGCGAAAGUAAGACUAGUACCCAAUGACGUCUCUAGAAGACAUCUGAAAGGGAUUAAAGAUUUAUCGGUGAUGGAUGGGGAUGCGUCAGAUUAGCUUGUUGGCGGGGUAACGGCCCACCACGGCGACGAUCAGUAGGGGUUCUGAGAGCGAGGUCCCCCACACUGGAACUGAGACACGGUCCAAACUCCUACGGGAGGCAGCAGUGAGUAAUAUUGGUCAAUGGACGAGAGUCUGAACCAGCCAAGUAGCGUGCAGGAUGACGGCCCUAUGGGUUGUAAACUGCUUUUAUAAGGGAAUAAAGUGAGAGUCGUGACUCUUUUUGCAUGUACCUUAUGAAUAAGGACCGGCUAAUUCCGUGCCAGCCGCCGCGGUAA